UUUGAAAGGGAAACGAUUGAAGUCAGUCGUACCGACGGAAAAUCAGCUCUUUGAGUGCGGACUUGUGGGCUUACGUGAGUUUUAACACCUCGCUGUUUGCAACGUUCGUGUUUUUUGGGUGUACUUUUUCGUAUGGUAGGCCAAUGUCAGUUUCGAUCGCUAUAAAAUGACCGGCGGAAUGUAGCUUCGAUCUUGUAUUGAAGUGUUAUAGCCUCUGGUAGAUGUGGUGAUCGGGACUGAGGAUUGCAACGAAUACCUUUUGGGCUAUCCGUCUGAUCUCUGAAGGUUGCUUAGGU
rnacentral:rRNA from 1 species